GCCGGGUAUACAGUGGGUGCUUCGUAAGUAUUUGUGGAAUGAAUGUGCAGAGUGAAGCCCUGUGCCCAGAACAGGCUCAGACAUCGUCUUCAGAAAAGCCGUCACCCCAUCAUCGACAGUGGAUGUUCCAGGGAAGAGUACCUUAGGCUGGAGGCCAGGAGGAGAGAUCGUGACAACAGUACGUGUGGCUCUAGGAUGUGAGUGUUCAGCACACUAAUCCAUGUGAAGCAUUCUGAAUAGUGUGUGGCACACAGAAUCCACUCGAUAAACAUCAGCCAUCAAUCUCAUGAUUAUUGUUUUUAUUGCUGCUGUCAACCCCAUCCAGCAAACCCUCUAAAAGUUGGCAGGAAACCAGAGAAACAAACCCCAGGUGGAGAAAAAUUCUACAGAGCCACCACGGUCUCGAAGAGACUCCAGGGCCAUUCUCUAGGAACCACAACC